rnacentral:rRNA from 1 species
CCUACGGGAGGCAGCAGUGAGGAAUAUUGGUCAAUGGGCGCGAGUCUGAACCAGCCAAGUAGCGUGAAGGAUGACUGCCCUACGGGUUGUAAACUUCUUUUAUAAAGGAAUAAAGUGUUCCACGUGUGCCUUUUUGUAUGUACUUUAUGAAUAAGGAUCGGCUAACUCCGUGCCAGCAGCCGCGGUAAUACGGAGGAUCCGAGCGUUAUCCGGAUUUAUUGGGUUUAAAGGGAGCGUAGAUGGGAUGUUAAGUCAGUUGUGAAAGUUUGCGGCUCAACCGUAAAAUUGCAAUUGAGACUGGCAGGCUUGAGUACAGUUGAGGUAGGCGGAAUUCGUGGUGUAGCGGUGAAAUGCUUAGAUAUCACGAAGAACUCCGAUUGCGAAGGCAGCUUACUAAACUGCCACUGACAUUGAUGCUCGAAAGUGUGGGUAGCAAACAGGAUUAGAUACCCCAGUAGUC